GCUGGGGAGACAGCUGAGGACAAGAAGGAUGACAAGUUCUCCCGCCAGCCAGCGCUGGGGAAGCCCGGGGCUUUGGAGCAAGGGCGCAGGAUUGAGAGGGAACGCCUGCCAGGGGGAAAAGGCUGUGCUUCCUCUGGGGCCAGGGAGCGGGAGGGAGGCGGUCCUUCACCCUUGAACGUGAGCAGCAUCCCCCCACUCCUUGCUCUCCUGUGACAGGGAGCCAGACACCCACGGCACCUCUGGGGAUCCUGACGCCUCAGGGGGCGUCUCCUCUCUCCCUGACCACGUUCGUGGCAAACGCUGGCCAGACACUGCUAGUGAACUGAGCUUCGAGGAAGAACCCGGACCCAGCGUACCCUGGGGUUAUGUCCAGGUCCCAGAUGAGAAAACGGACAUACACUGAGGUUCGGUACCUCACGCAAGAUCACAUAGUUAACACGUGGAAGGGGACUUCAAGAUCCUCCCGCUACCCUAGGCUCCCAGCACUAUAGGAAAGGGCACCGCAGUGGCCCCGGUGGUGGGUCACAGCCUUUAUCCACCUGCCCAGAGAUGAAGGGCGCACCACCUCUCAAGGCUGUUGGCUCCAAGCUUGGUCAAUUCUCAAAGCCGGCUGUUCGGAGUUCUAUUAAGCCAAAAGCUGGGUCCCUGCAGGCUUGGGGCUCCCCCGAGGCAUGCUGCUUCUGCCCUCUGCAUCCCCUCAGACAGCAUCUAAUUCCUUUCCCCGAGGAUUGUUUCAGAGCAGGACCAAGACCCUGUCCUUAUUUUUCUAAUUUCUCUAAGCAACGCGGCCUCUGUCUGACAGCUGCCCCCCGCAGUCAGCUGGGCAGCUCCCCCAUCAUCACCAACACCCUUCCCCGAAUACCCUCCAACCUGCUGAUGUCUCUGGUGGGUCCAGAUGUGGACAUGGGGUCACCCAGGCCUCCCAUCUCCCUACGGCACAAAACGGAGUGCUCUUUAAAAUGUUAUUUCAAUACAGUUCAUUUACCAUUAUAGUGAUACAGUCUCGCUGUAGGAAACGUAAAAAAAAUGCCAUGAGCAGAGCAAAACUGCUUCCCCAAAGAGGGAAAUCACCCUUGCUCUACUUCCAGCCUUUCUGGCUUCAUUUGUUCCAGAUCUACACUUGUGCCCCAUGUUUUCACUUACCCUUAGAGCCUAAGCAGGUGGCUAUUACUAGAAAGUCUCUGGGAGUUCCCACUGUG